UGCAGCUGUGUCAAAUUCAGUGCCUGUCCAGCUGAUGGCAGGCACUGGCUCAGAAGCUUGCUAGAGAAACACUGUGACCCAUGGGCCCAGUUCCCCUCGCUUGGACUUAGGGAUAAAUUUGGUCACAGACACCA